rnacentral:other from 1 species
UAAUUCCUGGGGUGUUUGUCAAUACGGUGACGUCCCUGAGCCGAUAAUUACAACACCGGGGAUUUUGCUUGCUACUAUUGCGCAGGCUCAGCAUGUACUGAGAAGCCUACGGUAAUAACAAAAUCACCACCUUGAGCCGUCGGGUUCAAGGGCUUAUACCGUGUAACGGCACCCUGGGUACUCC